UACGCAGGGGGCAAGCGUUGUCCGGAUUUAUUGGGCGUAAAAGGCUUGUAGGUGGCCACGCCAAGUCGGAUGUGAAAUCUCCCGGCUCAACUGGGAGGGGUCAUUCGAUACUGGCGGGCUCGAGGCCGGUAGGGGGAAGUGGAAUUCCCGGUGUAGUGGUGGAAUGCGUAGAUAUCGGGAGGAACACCAGUGGCGAAGGCGGCUUCCUGGACCGGUUCUGACACUGAGGAGCGAAAGCGUGGGGAUCAAACAGG
rnacentral:rRNA from 1 species